UUUAAGUGCAGUGGUGGGUUUCUAUGUCCAAUAUUGAACCGUCCGUUUUAUUUAAAAAAAAAUUGUGAUUAGUAUUUUUAUGGUUAUUAGAUGAUAAAAAUAUCAAUAGUACUUUAUGCAUGAUUUUUUUUAUUUUUUUACAAAUUUUUUAAAUAAGAUGAAUAGUUAAAUGUUACCCAUAACUAUAUUUAAA
rfam:Oryza sativa Japonica Group DNA, chromosome 7, cultivar: Nipponbare, complete sequence.